AGUCUACAAAACCCCACAUCCCCUGAGAAUUCUCUCGCCUGCCUUAGGCACUUAGGCUCCGGGAGAUUGCAAAUAACCUGCUUUCUUUCUGUUCCCGGGCUGCGUUCGGACUCCUGUCAGAUAGUAAAUCCUAAGUGGCGUCGGACCCCUGUCAGAGAGUAAAUCUCAAGUAAGGUACCUGCCAUCGGCAGAUUUGAGCUUUCUUCUUGGACACCUAAUACCCACAGUCCUCCAGGCUCCGGUAGACUGCAAAUGACCUGCUUUCUUUCUGUUCCCGGGCUGCGUUUGGACCCCUGUCGGAUAGUAAAUCCCAAGUAAGGCUCCGGUAGACUGCAAAUGACCUGCUUUCUUUCUGUUCCCGGGCUGCGUUUGGACCCCUGUCGGACAGUAAAUCCCAAGUAAGGUACCUGCCCUCGGCAGAUUUGAGCUUUCUUCUUGGACACCUAAUACCCACAGUCCUCCAGGAAUGGAACAGAUAAGAAGAUACUGAAAUUGGACGGUGCUGCCGUGCGGCUGCCGCAGGACACCUUUAAUAUCCCUGUUUCUCAGGCUGUAGAUGAAGGGGUUCAGCAUGGAGGUGAUCACCGUGUACAUCACUGAGGCCACUGCAGCCUUUCUCGGGGAAGAUGACACAUCUGAACUGAGGUACCCUCCAAAGCCUGUUCCGUAAAAUCAGCAAACAACUGACAGGAUAACUUCAGGAAGUGGGUAUUAAUUCUCACGGUAUAAGUGAAGACAUUAAGCACCAGAGUUUAAGUAGCUUGAUCCACUGAAAGAGAUUCAACUGUGUGGAACCUAUGCCGUGGAGAAUUGCUUUCUGCCAUUGUUAUCGUCCAGCAGUUGCCGAAUAGCUCUGACCUGAGCAAAGCAGUGAAACGCGGUGCUGUUGAGUGGGUUGCCACUGCACCUUUUUCAACUACUCUAGUCUUGUGGAGAAAAUACCCCUUCUAAAUUUUUUCUUCAUUGAAUACUCUCCCUCAGCUCCAGAGUACCAUAUAGAGUUUUCUUGUAUUUUAGAGUUACUGUUUUAUCAAAGUUUACCAGUCUUUUGUAUUACAUUUCUCCUGUCUAAAUCGACUGUGUGGUUUCUACUCAUUAUGGAUAUAGAUUGAUACAAACUCAAUAAAUAUUUUUGAAUGAAUAA
rnacentral:lncRNA from 1 species